CGGAGGAAAAGAAACCAACAGGGAUUGCCCUAGUAACGGCGAGUGAAGCGGCAACAGCUCAAAUUUGAAAUCUGGCGCAAGCCCGAGUUGUAAUUUGUAGAGGAUGCUUCUGGGCAGCGGCCGUUCUAAGUUCCUUGGAACAGGACGUCAUAGAGGGUGAGAAUCCCGUAUGUGACCGGCACGUACCCUCCACGUAGCUCCUUCGACGAGUCGAGUUGUUUGGGAAUGCAGCUCUAAAUGGGAGGUAAAUUCCUUCUAAAGCUAAAUACCGGCCAGAGACCGAUAGCGCACAAGUAGAGUGAUCGAAAGAUGAAAAGCACUUUGGAAAGAGAGUUAAAAAGCACGUGAAAUUGUUGAAAGGGAAGCGCUUACAACCAGACUUCGUGGCGGUGUUCCGCCGGUCUUCUGACCGGUCCACUCGCCGCCGCGAGGCCAGCAUCGUCUGGGGCCGCCGGAUAAGACCUUGGGAAUGUAGCUUGCCUCGGUAAGUGUUAUAGCCCAGGGUGAUGCGGCGUGCCUCGGGCGAGGUCCGCGCUUCGGCAAGGAUGCUGGCGUAAUGGUUGUCAGCGGCCCGUCUUGAAACACGGACCAAGGAGUCUAACAUCUAUGCGAGUGUUCGGGUGUCAAACCCCUACGCGUAAUGAAAGUGAACGGAGGUGGGAAGCGCAAGCUGCACCAUCGACCGAUCCUGAUGUCCUCGGAUGGAUUUGAGUAAGAGCAUAGCUGUUGGGACCCGAAAGAUGGUGAACUAUGCCUGAAUAGGGUGAAGCCAGAGGAAACUCUGGUGGAGGCUCGCAGCGGUUCUGACGUGCAAAUCGAUCGUCAAAUUUGGGUAUAGGGGCGAAAGAC
rnacentral:rRNA from 1 species